CGCCACCUCAACUCAUCCUACGCCCAUUUGAAUUCAUGAGAAACGAGUUCUCAUGAAUUUUCUCCCAUGUAGAAGCCUUCCCACACCCUCCUAUGUGCACCAUUUUGAGUGGAUAAAGAUGGUUGGUUGGCCAUUCAAAUUCAAAUGAAGUUUGAAUUUGAAUGGACAACUAAUCUCAUGCGCCACCUUAUCCACUUGUGCGCCAC
rnacentral:lncRNA from 1 species